CGCCAUCGAAGCCCUUCUAAAACCCCCAAUUUCGUUGUCUCCCGACUCUCCUCCUGCGUCCCUCCAAGCAACCUUCUCUCCCGCUUCCUGGUAACUGUGUAUCUGUUGAACUGAAAUUUCCGAAUCCGGUUUUAAAGAGUAAACUUCAUCUGAAUUUGAUUGGGUCUCAGAUAACACCGGAAACAGCACUUGAGUGUUUCAUAGAAGUAAUAACUUCGAAUUGCUUCUGAUUUUGUAUCACCAUAAACGUUGAGAAAAUUCUUCGGCCACCUUGGUAUCUAUGGUUUUCUUAUGAAAUUUCCUAAAUUGCAGCACCUCGAUCUAAGAUUCUGCCUGAUUACUUACGGUGAAUUCGAACUUACACCUGUUUACACAAAGUCACUGCAUAUAGCCCCAACAAUCAACAUCAAAGUCUAAGGCUAGAAUAUUUUCUUCGAUGGCAAAGGAUCAAUCAAUCUCAGUGAAAGAUGCUGUUUACAAACUGCAACUUUCCCUCCUUGAAGGCAUCCAAGAUGAAAACCAUCUUUUUGCUGCUGGAUCUCUGAUGUCUCGCAGUGACUAUGAAGACGUUGUGACUGAGCGUUCAAUUGUGAACCUCUGUGGCUACCCUCUUUGCCGCAAUUCUCUGCCAGCUGAUCGCCCUCGAAAGGGACGCUACCGCAUUUCCUUGAAGGAACACAAGGUUUAUGACCUACAGGAGACAUACAUGUAUUGCUCUUCAAGCUGUGCUGUUAACAGUCAAGCUUUUGCUAAGAGCUUGCAAGAUGAAAGAUGCUCAGUUUUGGACUUGGAUAAACUUAAUGAGGUUUUGAGGUUAUUUGGGAACUUGAGUUUGGACUCCAAGGAUGGUUUGGGAAAGAAUGGGGAUUUAGGAUUGUCUGGCUUGACAAUUCAGGAGAAACCAAAAACCAAGGUUGGGGAAGUGCCUUUGGAGGAGUGGGUUGGUCCAUCAAAUGCAAUUGAAGGCUAUGUUCCACAGAGGGAACGCAGUUCCAAGUCCUCACUUUUGAAAAAUCCCAAAGGAGGGUCCAAAGCUAGGCAUACCAAAUUGAAUAGUGAAAAAGACUUCGUCAUCAAUGAGAUGGACUUCAUCAGUACUAUAAUCACUGAAGAUGAAUAUAGUGUCUCAAAAAUGCCAUCAGGUUCAACAAAGACUCCUUCUGACGAUAAAAUAAGGGAACCGAAAGGAAAAGUGAAUUGUAAAGACUUGGAGGAUCAAGUUGCCAUACGUGAAAAACCAUCCGCUCCCACAAAGAAUCCUGGUGAAAGGAAAUCAAGAGAAUCAAAAGGGGAAGAGAGUAGAAUGGCCACCAAAGGUGAGUAUAUCAUCACAGGGUUGCCUUCAACUUCAAACCCCUGCCCAACUAGUUCCAGUGUAAGUACUGCAGAAGCAGAAGAGGAAGCCGCCGAUGAGAAAGCAGCUAUGUCAAAGGAAACUACGUGCAAAUCCUCUUUUAAACCUUCGGGUAUGAAAAAAUCUGGUCGCACUGUUACCUGGGCUGAUGAGAAAGUUGAUGGCAGUGGGGAUGGAAAUCUUUGUGAGGUUAGUGACAUGGAAGAUAAAAAGGAAGCUCCUGAAAGAUUAAGUGGUAAAGAUGUGGAAGAUAAUGAUGAAAAGUUACGCUUUGACUCGGCAGAAGCUUGUGCAAUAGCAUUAAACGAGGCAGCAGAGGCUGUUGCUUCUGGAGAAUCUGAUGCCAGAGAUGCCAUCUCUGAAGCUGGAAUUAUUAUACUGCCACAUCAAGGAGAUGUAGAUGAAGGGGAAUUGAUGGAUGAUAUUGAUAUGCUCGAAUCCGAACCAACUCCUUUAAAGUGGCCGAGAAAACCUGGGGUUCCACAUUCUGAGUUGUUUAACCCUGAAGAUUCGUGGUAUGAUGCUCCGCCAGAGGGUUUCAAUUUGACUUUAUCACCUUUUGCCAAAAUGUGGAUGGCUCUCUUUGCAUGGACAACAGCGUCUUCUUUGGCUUAUAUAUAUGGGAAGGAUGAGAGUUUUCAUGAAGAGUACCAUUCCGUUAAUGGGAGGGAGUACCCCAAUAAGAUUGUCUUGGCAGAUGGUCGUUCUUCUGAAAUAAAGCAAACUCUUGCUGGUUGUCUUGCUCGGGCUUUGCCUGGACUAAUUGCGGAUUUGAGACUGCCAACACCAAUAUCUAUUUUGGAGCGAGGAUUGUUUUAUGCAGGGGCGCUUGUUGGAUACAAUGACUUUUUUGGAUGCACUUCCAGCUUUCAGAUCGAAACAGUGGCAAGUGAUUGUUCUUCUGUUUAUUGAAGCUCUCUCUGUUUGUAGGAUCCCUGCACUUACCUCACACUUGACUAAUAGGAGGAUGUUUUUGACAAAGGUGUUGGAUGGUGCCCAAAUAAGUGUGGAAGAGUAUGAGAUUAUGAAGGAUCUAAUGAUUCCUCUCGGCAGGGUUCCUCAUUUCUCAUCACAGAGUGGAGCUUGACUGAGAAAAACGUCAACUACGAAUGCAAAAGCAAUUGUACAUUUAUAUUUCAAUGGUCACCAGACUUGGUUUUUGUUUUAUGGUUUCUUUCAAGCACUGAGGAAAGUUUGAUUUGGCCAUGAAAUCAAGAAAAUUUGAUACCCUAGUUCCAAACAAUGAGAAGAAAGAAAACCUUGCCAAAUUGCCACCUAACCUUGUGUAAUGAGCGGUAAGAAAGUUCUUAACUUUGGAACUUCAAUGUACAUCCUUAUAUCGGGAAAGAAAGGCGAUGGACAUUUUUUUUGUUUA